UUUUUUGAACAAGUUCUAAUAUUGGAUAAUCUAGAGACAUUUUCAGCAGAAUUUUGAUCUAUGUAUGGAAAACAUGAUACAAUUCAUAUUGUAACCAAUAAAAUCCAUAUUUUGUGAUAAGACAAUUGAUUUGUAACAUCAUAUGCUUUAUAAUUUUGACAACUUGUAACUAAUAUCAAGUAGAAUGAUGUUACACUUAUUGACAAUUUUUUCUAUGAAUUAUAAUGUAAAGUAAAGAAAUUGAUACU
rnacentral:lncRNA from 1 species